CGGGAUCUGAAGCCUUCAAAUAUAUUGCCAUAUCAAGAGAGGAGCAACUCUCAUGAGUACCAUGCCAAGAGCAAGGACAGUGUACUAUCUUGCCCCUAAAACAUUGAACGGACAGUGUGGUCCACUCUCGGAUGUGUGGGCCCUGGGCCUCAUUACAAUUGAACUAUACUCUGGAGCUCAUGCGUGUUUCAAUGUCACAACGGAGCAAGAAGUUUUCGGAAGGCUGUAUGGACAGCAAUGUCCAGAUGCUUUCAAAUAUAUUUCGAAUGACAUGAAAAUGAUUGCGCGUGAGUGCGUCAAUUAUGAGUCAUACAAACGGUCUAAAAUGGCUUCUGUUUUGACGAUGCUGCACGGCUGUGGCAAGAAAGAACACGUGUGACUGCAUGUCAAUAGACAGUGAGUAGGCGAGACAGCGUUAGGGCGCAGUCGUCUGAAUUUGCUGACAAACUAAGAAAUGCUGCUGUGCAAGGUAGACUUCAUGGUUUCAUAAGUGGUUCGUGCGAUAUCCCUCGUGAUGUUGCUUUUCACGUUUCUCGUUUGUCUGCUCAGACACCAUUAGAUGUUGGGUGUCACUGCCGAUGACUUGUCAACAACUCACAAGACUGACAUUCCAAGUGAAACAGUCUAUACAAUGAUAGAUCUCUGGAUUAAGAGAGAUGGGAAAGAUGCUACGCUCAUUAGAUUGUUGGAAGCAAUGGAAUUUAUUGGAGAAUUAGGUGAACUUGAAAGGAAACUGGCAGACAGUUUGCCCUGAAGUACAAUCACAUUCUCAUGGUUUAAUUAGUGUAGGUAUAAGCAAAAUAUGUCAGCUGAUUAUCCGACAUGUUCCAUUAACUGAACCGUUACGUGUAUUUGUGUAUCUUACAUUUUGCUUUA